rnacentral:lncRNA from 1 species
UGGCACUAUAGGCUAGGUCAUAUUAAUAAGAACAGGAUAAACAAGCUGACAUAAGAGAAAAUCUUUGAAGUCAGUGAUUAUGAAUCACUGCCAACUUAUGAGUCUUGUCUUCUUAGAAAGAUGAUCAAAUCAUCUUUUAAUAAAAAAAGUUAUUGAGUUUCAAUCACGCAGUAAAAAAUAAAUUUUAAAAAUUUUAAAAUAUGCA